UGGUUUGAUCAUGGCUCAGGACGAACGCUGGCGGCGUGCUUAACACAUGCAAGUCGAGCGGAAAGGCCCCUUCGGGGGUACUCGAGCGGCGAACGGGUGAGUAACACGUGAGGAACCUGCCCUUAGCUCUGGGAUAGCUCCGGGAAACCGGGAUUAAUACCGGAUACGACCACAGUCGGCCUCGACCGUGGUGGAAAGAUUUAUCGGCUAGGGAUGGUCUCGCGGCCUAUCAGCUUGUUGGUGAGGUAACGGCUCACCAAGGCGACGACGGGUAGCCGGCCUGAGAGGGCGACCGGCCACACUGGGACUGAGACACGGCCCAGACUCCUACGGGAGGCAGCAGUGGGGAAUAUUGCGCAAUGGGCGAAAGCCUGACGCAGCGACGCCGCGUGGGGGAUGAAGGUCUUCGGGUUGUAAACCCCUUUCAGCAGGGACGAAGCGAGAGUGACGGUACCUGCAGAAGAAGCGCCGGCUAACUACGUGCCAGCAGCCGCGGUAAUAA
rnacentral:rRNA from 1 species